AAUGAAAGAAAAAAAUAUUGGUAUUUAAGUCCUCAAAUCAAAAAAAUAAUUAAUAUAAAAAUUGAAGAAUCCGAUGAUGAAGAUAAAGACUUAUCAUUAAUCAUCAAAAUAUUUAAAAACUUUCUGAAGAUGAAGAAGAAGAAGCAAGAAAGGAAAAAAGAGAUCAAAAAAAAUAAAGCUUCAACUAAGAGGGAGCCCCGCA
rnacentral:lncRNA from 1 species